UACGUAGGGUGCAAGCGUUAUCCGGAAUUAUUGGGCGUAAAGAGCUCGUAGGCGGUUUGUCGCGUCUGCCGUGAAAGUCCGGGGCUCAACUCCGGGAUCUGCGGUGGGUACGGGCAGACUAGAGUGCAGUAGGGGAGACUGGAAUUCCUGGUGUAGCGGUGAAAUGCGCAGAUAUCAGGAGGAACACCGAUGGCGAAGGCAGGUCUCUGGGCUGUAACUGACGCUGAGGAGCGAAAGCAUGGGGAGCGAACAGG
rnacentral:rRNA from 1 species